AGGCUUUAACACAUGCAAGUCGAGCGGGGAAGAGUAGCUUGCUACUUAACCUAGCGGCGGACGGGUGAGUAAUGCUUAGGAAUCUGCCUAUUAGUGGGGGACAACAUCUCGAAAGGGAUGCUAAUACCGCAUACGUCCUACGGGAGAAAGCAGGGGACCUUCGGGCCUUGCGCUAAUAGAUGAGCCUAAGUCGGAUAAGCUAGUUGGUGGGGUAAAGGCCUACCAAGGCGACGAUCUGUAGCGGGUCUGAGAGGAUGAUCCGCCACACUGGGACUGAGACACGGCCCAGACUCCUACGGGAGGCAGCAGCGGGGAAUAUUGGACAAUGGGGGGAACCCUGAUCCAGCCAUGCCGCGUGUGUGCAAGAAGGCCUUUUGGUUGUAAAGCACUUUAAGCGAGGAGGAGGCUACCGAGAUUACUACUCUUGGAUAGUGGACGUUACUCGCAAAUAAGCACCGGGCUAACUCUGUGCCAACCAGCCGUGGUUAAUACUGACGGUUGCAACACGUUUACUCGGAUUUACUGGGCGUAAAGCGCCCGUACGUGGCCCCUUACCUCAACUGUGG
rnacentral:rRNA from 1 species